CAGAUUUACAAUGUUUUGAUAAUUUGCAAGUUUCUCAUUAUAAAUUGAUAAUUGACUGAAAAAAGGAAACAAAUUUUCAAUAAAAAUGACAUUUCGAUUCCAAUAAAAAAGUACACAGCAAUAGAACCAUCACAACAGCUAUAUGCUUGAUGAGAUGCCACCAUUAAUUGAUGCAUUGUGCAGAUAAAGACCUAGGUCCUCAAGGCUGUGCCCAAUCAUCCUUGUUACCAAAUCUUGAAAAACAAGUUAUAGCAUCCAUCAGCAAUGUUAAUUUGACCUCUGUCCCACCCUCCAACCCCAAAACCCCCAUUGCACUCGGCAUGGAUU